rnacentral:rRNA from 1 species
UAGGGAAUAUUGGUCAAUGGGGGCAACCCUGAACCAGCCAUGCCGCGUGCAGGAAGAAGGCCUUCUGGGUUGUAAACUGCUUUUGACAGGGAACAAAUGCCAUUUGCGAAUGGAGCUGAGUGUACCUGUAGAAUAAGCCACGGCUAACUACGUGCCAGCAGCCGCGGUAAUACGUAGGUGGCAAGCGUUGUCCGGAUUUAUUGGGUUUAAAGGGUGCGUAGGCGGCCGAUUAAGUCAGUGGUGAAAUCCUUCAGCUUAACUGAAGACGUGCCAUUGAUACUGGUUGGCUUGAAUAUAGUUGAGGUGGGCGGAAUUGACGGUGUAGCGGUGAAAUGCAUAGAUAUCGUCAAGAACACCUAUUGCGAAGGCAGCUCACUAAGCUAUAAUUGACGCUGAGGCA